rnacentral:rRNA from 1 species
CGAGAUGCAAGCAUUGGAGGUAGAGCUACUGGAUGGCCGAUGGGCCCUCACGGGUACCCCACCCAACCAAACUCCGAAUACCAAUGCCCAAGCCUCGGGAGAUAGACGGCGAGUGACAAUAUCCGUCGUCAAGAGGAGAACAAUCCAGACCGCCGGCUAAGGUCCCAAAUCGACGCUCAGUUAGGAAGGAAGUCGGAUUGCCAUGACAGCCAGGAUGUUGGCUUAGAAGCAGCCACCAUUUAAAGAGUGCGUAAUAGCUCACUGGUCGAGGAGUCCGGCGCCGAGAAUGAUUGGGGAUAAGCGUCGAGCCGAAGCCGCGGACACGCAAGUGUGGUAGGAGAGCGUUCCUGUCGGCGUUGAAGCGUGCCCGAAAGGGCCCGUGGAGCGUCAGGAAGUGAAUAUCCGAGCUUGAGUAACGAUAAAGCAGGUGAGAAUCCUGCUCGCCGAAAACCUAAGGUUUCCUGGGGAAGGUAAAUCCUCCCAGGGUCAGUCGGGACCUAAGGCGAGGCCGAAAGGCGUAGUCGAUGGACAGCUGGUUAAUAUUCCAGCACCCCGGAUAUGGUGCGGAUCGAGAAAGUCCCCUGCCUUACCAGAUUGGUAGGCCUUCGGGCCGUUGGGGGCGGAAUCGGUUCCUAGAAAAGCCAUGUCAUUAACGGGCCCGUACCAAAACCGACACAGGUAGGUGGGGUGAAGAACCUCAGGCGCUCGAGAGAACGGUUGUGAAGGAACUCGGCAAAAUGACCCCGUACGUUCGCAAGAAGGGGGCCCUACCCGUAAGGGAGGGCGCAGAGAAAAGGCCCUAGCGACUGUUUACCAAAAACACAGCUCUGUGCAAACUCGCAAGAGGAAGUAUACAGAGUGACACUUGCCCAAUGCCGGAAUGUCACGGAAGUGGGUUAGCUUCGGCGAAGCUCGCGACCCAAGCACCGGUCAAUGGCGGCCGUAACUAUGACGGUCCUAAGGUAGCGAAGUUCCUUGUCGGGUAAGUUCCGACGCGCAUGAAUAGUGUAACGACUUGGGCACUGUCUCCACAACCGACUCGGUGAAAUAGUAGUGGCGGUGAAGAUGCCGCCUACCCGCGGCAAGACGGAAAGACCCCGUGGACCUUUACUGUAGGCUUUUAUUGGUCACGAGCGAUCGCUGCGUAGGAUAGGUGGGAGGCUUUGAAGCCGGUGUUUAGGCACUGGUGGAGCCAUUGGUGAAAUACCACCCUUCGUUUGUUUGUGGCCUAACCCCGAUUCCCAUGAACCUGGGCGGGGGACAGUGAGUGCUUGUCAGUUUGACUGGGGCGGUCGCCUCCUAAAGAGUAACGGAGGAGCGCAUAAGGUUGGCUCAGCGCGGAUGGAAACCGCGCACCGAGUGUAAAGGCACAAGCCAGCUUUACUGCGAGGCCGACGGGCCGAGCAGUUACGAAAGUAGGCCUUAGUGAUCCUGCGGUCCCGUGUGGAAGCGCCGUCGCUCAACGGAUAAAAGGUACCCCGGGGAUAACAGGCUGAUCUUGCCCAAGAGUCCAUAGCGGCGGAGCGGUUUGGCACCUCGAUGUCGGCUCGUCGCAUCCUGGGGCUGGAGUAGGUCCCAAGGGUUGGGCUGUUCGCCCAUUAAAGCGGUACGUGAGCUGGGUUUAGACCGUCGUGAGACAGUUCGGUCCCUAUCCGCUGCGCGCG